AUUGGGCGUAAGCGAGCGCAGGCGGUUUUUUAAGUCUGAUGUGAAAGCCUUCGGCUCAACCGAAGAAGUGCAUCGGAAACUGGGAAACUUGAGUGCAGAAGAGGACAGUGGAACUCCAUGUGUAGCGGUGAAAUGCGUAGAUAUAUGGAAGAACACCAGUGGCGAAGGCGGCUGUCUGGUCUGUAACUGACGCUGAGGCUCGAAAGUAUGGGUAGCAAACAGGAUUAGAUACCCUGGUAGUCCAUACCGUAAACGAUGAAUGCUAAGUGUUGGAGGGUUUCCGCCCUUCAGUGCUGCAGCUAACGCAUUAAGCAUUCCGCCUGGGGAGUACGGCCGCAAGGCUGAAACUCAAAGGAAUUGACGGGGGCCCGCACAAGCGGUGGAGCAUGUGGUUUAAUUCGAAGCUACGCGAAGAACCUUACCAGGUCUUGACAUACUAUGCAAAUCUAAGAGAUUAGACGUUCCCUUCGGGGACAUGGAUACAGGUGGUGCAUGGUUGUCGUCAGCUCGUGUCGUGAGAUGUUGGGUUAAGUCCCGCAACGAGCGCAACCCUUAUUAUCAGUUGCCAGCAUUAAGUUGGGCACUCUGGUGAGACUGCCGGUGACAAACCGGAGGAAGGUGGGGAUGACGUCAAAUCAUCAUGCCCCUUAUGACCUGGGCUACACACGUGCUACAAUGGAUGGUACAACGAGUUGCGAACUCGCGAGAGUAAGCUAAUCUCUUAAAGCCAUUCUCAGUUCGGAUUGUAGGCUGCAACUCGCCUACAUGAAGUCGGAAUCGCUAGUAAUCGCGGAUCAGCAUGCCGCGGUGAAUACGUUCCCGGGCCUUGUACACACCGCCCGUCACACCAUGAGAGUUUGUAACACCCAAAGUCGGUGGG
rnacentral:rRNA from 2 species